CCUACGGGUGGCAGCAGUGGGGAAUAUUGGACAAUGGGGGGAACCCUGAUCCAGCCAUGCCGCGUGUGUGAAGAAGGCCCUCGGGUUGUAAAGCACUUUCAGUGAGGAAGAACGCCUGGUGGUUAAUACCCAUCAGGAAAGACAUCACUCACAGAAGAAGCACCGGCUAACUCCGUGCCAGCAGCCGCGGUAAUACGGAGGGUGCGAGCGUUAAUCGGAAUUUCUGGGCGUAAAGCGCGCGUAGGUGGCUUGAUAAGCCGGUUGUGAAAGCCCCGGGCUCAACCUGGGAACGGCAUCCGGAACUGUCAAGCUAGAGUGCAGGAGAGGAAGGUAGAAUUCCCGGUGUAGCGGUGAAAUGCGUAGAGAUCGGGAGGAAUACCAGUGGCGAAGGCGGCCUUCUGGACUGACACUGACACUGAGGUGCGAAAGCGUGGGUAGCAAACAGGAUUAGAUACCCGGGUAGUC
rnacentral:rRNA from 1 species